GCCACCCCUGCCGACCUCCGGCCGUCGUCCAGUAACCUCUCCCGUGUGCCCUAUCUCUCUUCUUCUCCCUUCUCCCUUCCUUUUCUCUCCCUCAACAAAUCUUGUCUUUCUCUGUUUCAGAAAUAACAGCACCAUGGAUCCCGAUGUGGAGCUCCAUUGCGGCCCGAUCUGACCUGGGAGCGACCAGAUCCGUGCGUCUCCGCCUUGCUCCGCGCGCCUCCAUGGUCCGUCGUCUUCCCGAGCGUCGGCGCCGCGCCCAGCCGCCGCCGUCCCAUGCCAUGGUCGCCUCCCUCCAGAACUACGUGCCAUGGCCUCCUCCCUGCCUCUCCCGCAAAUUAACUCCCAGCAACCGUACAUGAGCCCCAAGGCACCACGUGAUUCUGAUGAUACACCAACACUGGGUCGGUCCUACAUUGUUGACCCGCUCCAUUCUAUCCGGCAGCUCCAUUGGGAAAGCACCAACGUAAAAAACCACCGCAGGACAAAUUCGCUUCAAUUUUGUUGUUAGUGACAGAUGGCCGCACCGCUCCCACCGCGGCGGCGGCAACGGCAAUCUUCCCCUCAAUGGUCGUGUCGUACCGCUCCAACGCCAUCCGAGACAACCAUCGCGUGGUGGAGGAGGGCCACCUCGAGUACAUCGGGGAAGCGGUGAGCGCGGUCGCUGACACAUGUUCUGUUGAGUCCUCCAUUUCAGUUUCCAGACCUUGUGGCCGAUGAGGCGUACCUGCGUGUUUCUUUGAUGGUCGACAACGAGAUCCAAACUCCAAGUAUUCGUGGAUAUAGGGAACAGUUAUGAUACAAAUAGACUUGAUUGUACUGAUAAUUUUCAGCUUGCACAUGGAUCCCUUAUAGUAUGCAAUCAAGCUUGAUGACAAAUUCUUGGAGAGACACUAGGUGCCAGGUUGGAGAUUUGGGAUCGGAUGCGCCAAUAACAAGGGACCAAGGUGCUGAACUAACGGCACGGGCAGAAUGAUUCUUCAUGUACCAACAUAGUCGCCGACUAGAGAAUUAAGUUAACUGUUUGAUUUACUUGAAGCUCCAUAUUGUAGUUAUUUUAUUCAUUCACUAAUUUGGUAUAAUCCUACUCUAGGAGGAUUAUCACUGUAUGAUAUGAGAUCAUGACGUUUAGCAAUGAUAAAACUCUGACAUUGGAUGGUUCUUUUCUGAAGUACAGUUGUAAGAUCUAUGAUUCUAGCUUCGACCUUUAACUGGACAGUACUAAUUGGACAUAUAAUUGAUAAAUUAUGCACAAGAUAUUCUGUUGUCUUUUGUUCUCCAAUCUGAUUCAUCUAGCACUUUGUUGACUUUCUAAUUGUUCUACCCUCUACCUCUGAAACAAAUUUGGUGAUUUCUGCUAUGAUAGUUUCCAGUAUAGUCGCGAGUAUGCCCAUCAAUCGUAAAAAUAUAUUGUUUGACUUAGUCGUAGGUUCUGUAGUAGUCUUGCCUUGGCUCUGCUGCCUCUCCUCUCUGCUCCUUGCUGCCUGCGGCUGUCCCAUCUCUCCUAGCGCUGCUGCUGCACUUCUUCCGAAGCUCUUCUCAACCCUGUUGCUUAAGUUCUUCUCUGAACUCCAACCUGUUGCUGCUUCUUCCAUGUAUUUAGUUACAUGAUUUUAAUUUGAUCGUCUUCUUGCAUCUUAUUUUUGCUGACUAUGAUAUUUCCUUAGGUUCACCUUGACCUUCACUGCCCGUGUAAGAGCUUAAGUAAAUUGAUGUUGUAUCAUCAGAAUCUGUAGCCUUGCUCAGUUUUUUUGUCUAUACAUACACUUCAAUUCCUUGCUCGCACUCAAAUCCCUCUUUGUCACAGGAUGAAUCAGAAACUAAAGAUGAUGAUACGAUGGAUACAGAAGAAGCUUCCUUUGUCCUCAUCGCUGCACUGUAGUCUUUCAGCCAAGCUCUGGUGAAUGAUGAUGGAGAAAAAGAUAUCGUGACAGAGGUUGAUGUCUUCUUGCGUCCAACCCUAGAUCACAGGGGCUCUCUUAUCAGCAAAAUAGCUACUCUAGAUGCGCAGAUGACGAUCGCAAGAGAUCAUAUCUUGAGGAUAAGUGAAUAACUUUGAGGUCUACAUGUCAAGUAUAGAAAGAGAAACCUGAUGACGACAAGUGUGUCGUCGAUAUCUUUGCUGCCACUUCUUUGCCAGCCAGAGUGGCUUGUUUUUAGUGACGA